UACAGAGGGUGCAAGCGUUAAUCGGAAUUACUGGGCGUAAAGCGCAUGCAGGCGGUUGGUUAAGUCAGAUGUGAAAGCCCCGGGCUCAACCUGGGAAUUGCAUUUGAAACUGGCCAACUAGAGUACGUGAGAGGGGGGUAGAAUUCCAAGUGUAGCGGUGAAAUGCGUAGAGAUUUGGAGGAAUACCAGUGGCGAAGGCGGCCCCCUGGCACGAUACUGACGCUCAGGUGCGAAAGCGUGGGGAGCAAACAGG
rnacentral:rRNA from 1 species